GGGGUGAGUAAUACGUGAGCAAUGUGCCCUUGACUCUGGGAUAAGCGCUGGAAACGGCGUCUAAUACCGGAUACGACGACCGGAGGCAUCUCCUGGUCGUGGAAAGAACUUCCGUCAGGGAUCAACUCACGGCCUAUCAGCUUGUUGGUGAGGUAAUGGCUCACCAAGGCGACGACGGGUAGCCGGCCUGACAGGGUGACCGGCCACACUGGGACUGAGACACGGCCCAGACUCCUACGGGAGGCAGCAGUGGGGAAUAUUGCACAAUGGGCGCAAGCCUGAUGCACCAACGCCGCGUGAGGGACGAAUGCCUUCGGGUUGUAAACCUCUUUUAGCAGGAAGAAGCGAGAGUGACGGUACCUGCAGAAAAAGCACCGGCUAACUACGUGCCAGCAGCCGCGGUAAUACGUAGGUGCAAGCGUUGUCCGGAAUUAUUGGGCGUAAAGAGCUCGUAGGCGGUUUGUCACGUCUGCUGUGAAAACCCGAGGCUCAACCUCGGGCUUGCAGUGGGUACGGGCAGACUAGAGUGCGGUAGGGGAGAUUGGAAUUCCUGGUGUAGCGGUGGAAUGCGCAGAUAUCAGGAGGAACACCGAUGGCGAAGGCAGAUCUCUGGWCCGUAACUGACGCUGAGGAGCGAAAGCAUGGGGAGCAAACAGGCUUAGAUACCCUGGUAGUCCAUGCCGUAAACGUUGGGAACUAGAUGUGGGGACCAUUCCACGGUCUCCGUGUCGUAGCUAACGCAUUAAGUUCCCCGCCUGGGGAGUACGGCCGCAAGGCUAAAACUCAAAGGAAUUGACGGGGGCCCGCACAAGCGGCGGAGCAUGCGGAUUAAUUCGAUGCAACGCGAAGAACCUUACCAAKGCUUGACAUAUACGAGAACGCACUGGAGACAGUGAACUCUUUGGACACUCGUAUACAGGUGGUGCAUGGUUGUCGUCAGCUCGUGUCGUGAGAUGUUGGGUUAAGUCCCGCAACGAGCGCAACCCUCGUCCUAUGUUGCCAGCACGUAAUGGUGGGAACUCAUGGGAUACUGCCGGGGUCAACUCGGAGGAAGGUGGGGAUGAGGUCAAAUCAUCAUGCCCCUUAUGUCUUGGGCUUCACGCAUGCUACAAUGGCCGGUACAAUGGGCUGCGAUACCGCAAGGUGGAGCGAAUCCCAAAAAGCCGGUCUCAGUUCGGAUUGAGGUCUGCAACUCGACCUCAUGAAGUCGGAGUCGUUAGUAAUCGUAGAUC
rnacentral:rRNA from 1 species